AAAAAAUUUAACUCUGGCUUUAAUUAUAAUUGAGGUAAGCUUUUCAUGAGAAUCUUGGUGAUAUAAUAAAAAUAGAUUUAUUUUUUAGAGAGAUAUAUAAUAUUAUUGCAAACAGAAAUGAUUUUGUGGGUUAUCUAAAUAUAAGUAAAGAGGGUGCCAGCUUCUGCGGUUAGACUCUAUAUGAUUAUAAAUUGUAAGAAUAUAUUUAUUUUGUUUGAAAAAAUAUAAAAUUUUGGUGAAAUUUUUUUUUUUAAAAAAGCAUUGAGAAAUAGAUAAAGUUUAAUAAAACUAGGAUUAGAUACCCUAUUAUUAUUUUUUUGCUUAGACUAUUAAAUAUAAAAUUAAUUAGUUUGGCGGCUAAAUUAAUUAGAGGAAUUUGCUUUUUAAACGAUAAACCUCGUUACAUUUCUCUCUUUUUUUGUUUAUAUAUCAUUAUUAAAUUUUUUUUGAAAGGAAUAUAAAUAAGAUUAUUUUUAUAAAUUUAGAUCAAGAUGUAGCUAUAAAAGAGUUAAAGUUAAUUACAAUAAGUAUAAUUAAAUUAAAUAACUAUGUAUUUAAAUGUUUAUUUAAGUGGAUUUAAGUGUAAUUUUUGUUUAUAAAAAUGAGUAAGUCUUUUAGUGUACAAAUUGCCCGUCAUUCUCUAUGAGACAAGUCGAAACAAAGUAAGUGCACUUGAAGGUGUACUUA
rnacentral:rRNA from 1 species